rnacentral:rRNA from 1 species
UUGCAGUUAAAAAGCUCGUAGUUGGAUUUCGGAGUGGGCAAGUUGGUCCGCCGCAAGGUGUGUUACUGACUUGUUUGCUCUUCUUCGCAAAGACUGCGUGUGCUCUUCGUUGAGUGUGCGUAGGAUUUACGACGUUUACUUUGAAAAAAUUAGAGUGUUCAAAGCAGGCUAUUGCUUGAAUACAUGAGCAUGGAAUAAUGGAAUAGGACUUUGGUCAUAUUUUGUUGGUUUCUAGGACCGAAGUAAUGAUUAAGAGGGACAAUUGGGGGCAUCCGUAUUUCGUUGUCAGAGGUGAAAUUCUUGGAUUUACGAAAGACGAACAACUGCGAAAGCACUUGCCAAGAGUGUUCUCAUUAAUC